rnacentral:lncRNA from 1 species
GUGGUGGCUAUAUAUUUGGUAAUCAGCAGCAACUACUGCACCAUAAUGGUAAUGGCAGUAACAUCGCUGAAAAAUUGAGACAUCCUGCUUCAUCUUAUGGAAAGAAUCCUACUGCAGCUAGUUUUCUACCUUUGCAAGCCAAACCUUGGGACAAGCAACUUGUUAAUAGUGAUCAGCUACUUAGCAAUCGGAGGGAGGGACAACCAUAUAGUGGAAAUUCUAGACAUAGAUUUGUUAAUGAUUUGUUGGGGGAGCAGACCAUUAUGGAUGGUCCUGAAAUGAAUCCUGUGGAAUUUUUGGCUUCUCAAUUCCCCGGACUUGCUGCCGAAAGCCUUGCUGAAGUUUAUUUUGCCAAUGGUUGUGAUUUAAAUCUGACUAUUGAGAUGCUCACACAACAUGAGGUGAGUGGAGGUCCUUAACUGUUUUUAGUUGAUUUCUAGUGCUUACUUUUUACCCUUUGUUUGAAGAUGUAGUGAUGUGUCAGUUAUUUAGGUCUUGAAGUCUUCUAUUUUCCAUUUCACGAUUGUUGUUAUCAAUUGUUGGAGAGUUGCAGCCACUCUAAGAAAUGGUUUAUGGUCUAGAUCAGGAUGCGGAAGUUUUAAGUUUUUAAUUUUCCUUUAUUUAUACACACUGGAAAUGUUUUUAACACCCCCCCCUACUUAUGCUAUAUUUACGGGAUGUUGGUUUUCUGUUGUGGAUCCCGGGAAUGUUAAUGGUUUGGAUGCAAACCGUGGUUUGACAGAAAAGCUGGCUCCUAAUGAAGUUUUGAGGCGACUCAAUUCACCACAGCAUGUAGCCUCUAGUUCAUAAUAUUAUGAGGCCUGGCAUGGCGAGUAGUUUUUCUUUAUCGGGGUUUCUCCUCGUGGUUUUUGAAGUCAUAUUCUUCUUAGGUUGUUUUUACAUGCUGUGGCUCACAGGUUUCCAGCAUCCUCACAAAGUUUUUAGAAUUUUUGCCUUGUGUUUUCUCCUUUUAAGAUCUUUUAGCAUUUCAUAGAUCAUUUUGAUUUUUAUUGCAGCUUCAAGUUGAUGGUGGUUUCAACCAGAACCCGAAUUCAAAAACCUUGUUGGCUCCCAAUCUAAGUACGCUAGGCUUCCCAGUUACUGUGUCAGAUGAUCAGAGCGGUGCUACAAAAUAUGCAGGGGAUGAUCUUCAACUUAAUGUUGAUCCUUAUCUAUCAUCUGACAAGGACAACAUUCUUAUUUUCAA